UCCAGGGAGGGAAGAAGGUGGCGCCAUCGGGCUCGUGCUCUGCUCGAGUGGGUAUUUUGGAUAUCUGGCACAGGCCUUAUAGCUUCUGCAAAAUGCCUCGGAUGUAAAGGGGCCAACUAUUAUGGGGUACUGGGACCCCGCCGCAACGGGGUGGACAGACCGACCGCUGUUGAGAGUUCGUCAAGGCGGUUAACGCGGGGACAAAGCACGCUGGACCGACAAUCUUUACAUACAAGAUAGCCAGCAACAGACAUCAAGAGGCUUGUCUUCAACUCAGCUGCAUAGGAGGCGGCACUGUUUGCAGGAUUAAAGGGAGAGCUUGGUCUUCCGAGUGUGAGGGACGUAUUAGUCAGACAAGUUAGCAAUUGCCGUGAUUUUGAUACCAAGGAACCGUAUCUAUGGAGAUAUUAUCUACAAAAAGAGGAUCCGGUCAUCCCGACCCAGUUACAGAGCGGGUUCAGCCGGAAUAAAUCAAUUGGUUAAUCUCUUUUAUUUUUGUCCGCCGGGCGGCGAUGUCAGCUUUCUACCUCGACCGGCACACAUCUACCGCCGCGAUUUCAGCACCACCCGAACUGGACAGCGACUGCAUGGCGCACCUGCUAGAUCAGGGCAACAAAACCCCACAAGAAACGGGAGGAUUUCAGGGCCACUCGCUGCUACACACCGGGUCUGGAGGCCUCGGGAUGGCGUUGGAAGAGGAAUUAGCCAUGCUUACCGGGGAGCAGGACGAGGAGGAGGAGGAGGAGGAAGAGUUAUCCGAAUUGGAGUCGCCUGUAAUGGGACAGAAUACAGACUUUUUGUUGCUCUUUCGUCAAAAGGAGAAGGACUUGGUUUUAGCUGCUAAACUCGGCAAGGCACUGCUAGAGCGAAACCAAGACCUGACUAAGCAAUAUGAGAAAAUGAACAAAGAUCUUAACGAUAAACUUGAGCACCUAGAGCAGGAGAAGCACGAGCUGCGGCGGCGGCUGGAGAACAAGGAGGGGGAGUGGGGGGACCGCGUGGCGGAGCUGGAGACAGACGUCCAGCAGCUGCAGGGAGAGCUGGAGCGCCAUCAGGUCCAGCUGAGAGAGGCCGACCGCGACAAGUCCACGGCCAUCAGGGAGCUGUCAGAGCAAAACCACCGCCUGCUGGAGCAACUCAACCGAGCUACAGAGGUGGAGAGGCAGCUGUCCACUCAGGUCAACUUGUUACGGGAUGACUUCAGAGAGAAGAGCGUCUCCACCAACCAGCACAUGACACGACUAGAGAGCCUACAGGCUGAGCAAGGUCUGGAAAUUAAGAUGCUGUCGGAGCGUAAGAGAGAGCUGGAGGAUCAGGUUAACGCCGUACUAGAGGAAAACGAGCUACUGCAGAACACUGUUGACGACCUGAGGGAAGGGACGCUAGUGCUGGAGAAACAGUACCACGAGAAGGUCUUACAGUUACGGCAGAGCCAGCUGGAGCUCCAGGAGGUCCGGGUGUCCCACAGACAUCUGAGUGCCCGCUUUGAGGAGUUCACAGAGGAGAGAAGUCUCCAAGGCCUCAGCCCACACCCUGCCAGCCUACUCUGUGAGAUAGAACAGAGCAUGGAGCAAGAGGAGCAGGAACAAGAGAGGGAGCAGCUGCGUCUCCAGCUGUGGGAAGCCUACUGCCAGGUGCGCUCUCUCGUCUCCCACCUGCGAGGCAACGACAUCACAGACUCAGCCCUGUCCACAGACUCCUCCAUGGACGAGUCCUCUGAGACAUCGUUAGCCAAGGACGUUCCCAUGGGGAGCCUGCAUGCCAGUCUACUGGAGCUACGCAGACUCACACAGAACCUGCUAGACGGCAAUGAGUCCACGGGUUCUCGGCGGAGUGACGAGGAGGCUCUAGAGGACCAGGUCCGAAAGCUUGGGGAAGAGCUGAGAGGAGUGAGAGAGCUGUACGAAGCAGAGCAGGACAGAACACGGAGCAGCCAAGAAGAGGUUCUGCAGCUCCAUAAUCAGAUGGCGAUGCUUUCUGUGGAGAUGUGCUCUGUACAGGAGGAGAGUGAGCGUAUGAGGGCCAUGUCUGAAGCACGAGACCCCAGUGAACAGCUCCAAAGUGCUAUACAAGACCGAGACGACGCUAUUUCCAAGAAGAAAGUGGUGGAGAUGGAGCUGGCCAAGUGUAAGAUAGAUAUCAUGUCUCUGAACAGCCAGCUCCUGGACGCCAUCCAGCAGAAGCUGAACCUAUCACAGCAGCUGGAGGCCUGGCAGUUUGCAUCCUCAGGGCUCUUUACUGUGUGGCUCUUGUGGUUUCUGAUCUAGUGGCCUUUCUCAGCUUCCGUACCACCCUUUCUCCCCUGUGGUACCCCCCUCCUGCCUUAGAGGAUGAUAUGCACAGUAUGAUUGAUCAGCAGCUCAUGGAAAAGCACCAGGAGGAGUGGAGGGUGACCCCCUACUCCCUCGCUGGGUCCUCCGGGGGCCCCUCCGGCCAGUCCUCCAGACGAGCCCAUCGCCUCUCCGAUGGAGACAAGCGGCUCUUUUCCUUCUUCAAAAAGAACUGAGCGCCUCUGGACUGGCCCGAGUAAGCAAGAGAGAGAGAAAAAGAAUCAUUCAAAUAGAGCGCAGAGGGAGAGAAAAUAAAGACAAAGACCGAGUGGCAGUGAUACACACUAUUAGACGGGGGGGGGGGCUAAAGAGGUUCAAGGGUCAUUUUGCACUUUAUCUGUCCCAUCAUGUCCUACCUUAAACAUGUUGAAACAGAGAGUUAAGGCACUUAAAGAAGGAGUGAGCAACACUGUUAGGGCUCACUCACACCAGUAGCGCUUUCUGGCCGAGAGUACUUGGUACCUCCUGAACGUAAUUUGAGAACCGAGUGCGCACCGAUUUUACAUGUGGAAAAAGUUGUCAGUCAGACGUCUAUAGCGGGUGGUCCCUAAAACACACUGAACGAUCGACAGAUGAACGCUAGAUCCACAUUAGAUCCACAUUCAGUGUGAUGUGUGCGAGCGUUUACACAUGCAGAGGCCUUGGCUCCCAUCCCAUAAACACCCAUUGGGCUUACAUAUAUUUCAAAGAGGACGGUUCCCCAGUAGUGCCUCCCAGUGUCUCUACCCCACUUCCAAAACCCCAGACUGGGAGUGUAUGUAUACGGUAGGGCUGGCUCCUGUGCCCUGCCACAUGCCAAGGUGUCUGGGGAGAAGGUGUUCAAUACGGGACUCACCAAGGCGUUGGGGUGGAGGGAAUAGGACAGUGGGACAGGGAUCUGGGUAAGGGAACAUUAAUUGAGGGACAAGAACCAGCCUCUGGUUGGGAAGCAGCAUUGUUACAGCUAACUCCAACAUGUUCUCAGCUUUAUUCAUAUAUUCAGGGAUUUACAAAGAGGCCUUAUUCCCAAUCAAUCCAAUGGAUGGAUUUCUUUCGGUUGGUAUGCACUUCACAAUUAUGGUCGUGCCAUAGCAUUGGUUAUUAGAGUUAACACAACACACCAAAUGUCCAUCAUUGAAUAUCACUGAAGUGUAAAUGUAUAGAUCAAGCCACAGUAAAUCCAUAAACAUAGCACUUUAUGCAUAUCAAUCAUAAGUUUACCUCAGAUACUCAAUACUGACUGAGCAACCAGUGCAUGACCAAGGGAGAGUUACAUUUACCAAGCACUGAAUGUAUGAAAACCAGCUUAUCUAAAGUGAUGAUAGGACUGUUUCAGGUCCAUGGACAUUUCUACACAGGCCUCUUGUUAGUCUCUGACGUCUGAAUAAAUCUCUGGGCCGCUGGCGUUAGCUGCAGCCUCUAUCCAGGUGGACUUUUUCUACAGUUAGAAUGUCACGUUUUGCGUACGUUUGACGUACAAAAAAAGUAUUUUCAAACAUUGUCUGUACAAUGGCCAUCAUCAUGUAUAUUCCUCCUAGCUGACCAAAUCCUCCGAACUGUUUACAUUAGCUUGAGAAAGGAGAAGUCUAAACGGUCUCUCAAUACGUCUGCAGUGCCUAACUUUGGCAAGUCAAAGGCAUCCAUAUUGCGCUACAGUUAAUUGUCAAAUGACCAUUAAUUGGAACACAAAUGUAGAUGAUAUUGAUUUAGUAACCUACUCAGUCAGGUACCACCAAUCCAGUUUCACAGGAAAACCUAUUGACAGGGCCUACAGAGUGCUUUAGCUAUAGUAUCACAGUAAUACUGCCAUUCCCAUUGGUUCAAAGCUUAUGAUAGUGGACACUUCAUUUUCAAGCUUCCAUAAUGGCCAGACAAACAGUCACCUCCAAAAUGAUUGGCACCCUUGAUAAAGAUGAGCAAAAAAAUACAGUAUAAAAUAAAUAAUACCAAAAUUGUAUGCUCAAUAAAUGUGAAAAUUAUAUUAUUUUAUAGUAAUACAAUUGCUUAGAGUAAAAUAUUUUGUUCAACAAGUAAUUAACAAAAAAUCUCAAAAAGAUAGGUGUCUAAAUUAUUGGCACUAUUUUCAAUACGUCCUCUUGUGAGGAUAACAGCACUUAUCUUUUUUCUGAUAUUUUAUGAGAUCAUUCCUCCAUACAGGAUCAUUCCAGAACCUUGAAAGAUCCAUCCACAUUUUACAGUAGGUACGAGGUUCUUUUCUGCAUAUGCAUCCUUCAUUCGAGGCCAAACCCACCACUGGUGUGCGUGGCCAAAGAGCUCUGUUUUAGUCUCAUUCGACCAUAGCACCCACUUCCUAUCCAAGUGCCAAUGCCGUUUAACAAACUCCAGGCAUUUACAUUUGUUGGUUGCUCUCAAUAAAGGUAGUGGCGUUUAAUUGUAGAUUUGGAGACUUGGUGACCCCAAGACGCAACCAAGUUCUGUCAUUCUCCAACGGUGGCCCUUGGACUUUUUUUUUUUGCCUCCCGAACCAUCUUCCUCAAUGUGCGCGUAGUACAAGAUACACUUGGGUCUUUUACCAGGCAAGUUUACCAUUGUUCCAGUGGUUUUAAACGUAUUCAUUGUGUCCAUAAUAGUGGUAAGUGGUAUAUUGGAGUUUUCAGUCGUUUUAUGUACCAUUGCCUGAUUUAUGAAAGUCAACAGCCAUUUGCCUUUCCCCAUGGUGAUGGAUGACAAAGGGAUUUUACAUGUUUGUUACCUCAUUUUUCUACCCCAGUAAAACAGGAAGCCAUGGAAGGCCACAAUACAGUUCCUUUAGCUGAGAUUACCUUAAACAAGUAGAAUGAUAAUGCAAUCUUUAGGGGUGCCAAUCAUUUUGAUACAUAUUUUUUUUUUUUUUUACUUGUUCAACAAAAUCUCUUUCCCUGAGCAAUAUUGUAUUAGUAUGUUCCUUUUUUGCAUACAAUAUAGCUUGGUAUUUGUAUUAUUUAUACAUGUUUUUUGCUCAUCUUUAUCAAGGGUGUCAAUCAUUUUGGAGGUGACUGUAUCUGUGACUCCAUAUUUGUAGAGUGUGUGUAGAUAAAUGUGAUGCGUCUGAACCGUCAUGGCGUGUUUAAGAAUGAGACUGGCACAGCCCUCUGACAUCUGUCUAUGUAUGGAAAGUCAUAUCUAGAGCACCUGAGCAAACCUAUGCAGAUGUCUUCUCGCCAUCUCAGUUGGUAAGGUUGUUGGUUAGGAUCAACCCAAAGAAUUAUUAUUUUUAAAGAGUUGAGAGUAGGUUUGGAUGAAAUCAAUAUAUUUAUAAAUGCAUACCUUUUUCAAUGGAAAUCUCAUAUUUUUUUGUUGUUUAAAAAACUUUAAUUGUUCAUGUAUUUUUAUUUGGUGUUUUGAGUUUUUACAUACAAAUUGGGAUCUCUGCGGAAAGGGAGAGGAGGGUGAAGAUUAUAAGUUUUACAUGUGACUGUUCAGUUCCGUCUUUGUAGUAAGUAAUUCUAACUUUCAUGCAAUUCACUGAAUGUUGUUGAAGUUUGAGUUACACUCAAGUCUACCGAUGUUUGAUUCAGAGGUGUUCACCAGUGUUGGGUUCAAUUCGAAUUGAGGGCAGUCAAUUCAGGAAGUAAACUACAAUUACAAUUCAAUAAUCGAAAAAAGGGCAGUUAUGUUCAAUGACUUCUCAAUAAACUGAAAAAAAGUUGAUACUAUUUAUAAAAAAAAAAAUUACAUUUAAGAAUUUGCAAUUCAAAUCACUUCCUGAAUUGACUACCUUCAAUUUGAAUUGAGCCCUGCCAAGAGUGAGGUCUGCCUUUCUGUCUGUUGUCUAAGCAAGUGUGGGUCGGGGCAGGGGUCCAGGUGGGUCGUUGGCUUACAUUUUUAGUGCAUUGCAAAAUUAUUAUAAAUUAUUUUUUAUAUAUAUACAUUUUCGGGAAUGGAAAAACGCUUUCAGUGUAAACUUUAACAACUAAAACCAAAUAGAAAGUAUGUAGAAAAGAUAAGGGACAUAUAUAUUUUUAAAUAAUACUCUAUAGUCUUUGAGAACUUGGAAUCAACAAAAUAAAAGCCCCCAUUGAUUUUGUUAUAAUGUUUGAGCAUAUGAACACAGCAUUAGCCAUGUCAAAAUGUGUACAAUUGCAGAAGAUUUUCAUUAAAAACUGCAAAACAUUUCUCUCAGCUCCAUGGCAAAAUGUAUAGAAUUGCAGAAAGAUUGGCUUUAAAACAGCAAUAUUCGAUUCAGCUCCAUGAAGAAUUGCAGGAAAAGGGUUUAAAAUGCCAUUUUAUUUCAGCUCCAUGGCAAGAUGUAUAGAAUUGCAGGAAAUUUGGUCUGUGUAUAUUUUUGCACUGCUCAACCCUUAUGGUGGGUCACGACUCAAAAGACACCUCAAUUAGUGGGUCAUGAAGUAAAAAAGUUUUGGAACCCGUGUCUAAGCAGCUGUGGUGUUGUAUUGAUCUGAGAGGAUGGUUAAGUGGGUCUAACACCAGGAGCCAGUCAGCUCUGAAAGGCACUGGCUAGCUGCAUGAUUAUAGUGGACAUAAAGCCAACCACACACAGUUAGACUGCAGCCUCAGAACUGAGUGAUGAGAAGUUAUUCUGCAUGCUAAGUUAGGGUUGGUUGAACAUGGAUCAAACAUUAACUUAUAUUACGAACGGGAUCAAACAACACUUAUCAUGACCAGAAUGUAAGUUUUCUCAUAUCCUUGUCUUUUUGGAAAGAAAAAAAGUGAAUUCUGUAGUAAUUUGUAAUGUAACAGGCCAGAGGUCUUGAACUCAGCCUCAUGGCCUGUUGUCACCAGAGGGGUAUACUACAAAGUAAGUUCUAUGACUUAGCCAGCUAACUUGGCAACCAAAUAUUCUGAAAUAACUCAAACGAAAAAUAGAAAGAUGAGCAUAAAAUGGGCACAGUCUAAUUAACUUAUCCAAAAACACAUAUCUAAGAUUUCCUUUCUUAAUGGAGCAGAAAAUCAAUAGUUAUUUCUGGUUGUUUAUCAAAGUUAGUUGGUCACUUCAUGAAUCCUUCUUCGUAGUAUAGAGCUGUGGUGUUCCUGGGCGUGGCCUCUGGUAGAAAAGUUUGGCCGUUCUGUUCAUUCAGAGGGGAUACGUUCAAGAGCUCUGGCCUGCUGGUUACUUACAUCCAUGUUAUAGUUUUUUCAGUUUAAUGUUAUGUACUCUUCAUGUAUAUGUUAUGUCCAAAAUGACUGUCAAUUGUAUUGUUUUCAUUUUCUAUUUGAAUACUCUUUUUAAAGUCUGUCUCCUGUCCUCAAUCUUACUGUCAAUCAGCCUGAAUCCUGUGGAAGAGUUGUUCUCCUGCGUUGACUGUCUGUGUGUGUGUACCUGGGGCGGGGAUGUUGGGCUGUCUCUGUGUGUGUGUACCUGGGGCGGGGAUGUUGGGCUGUCUCUGUGUGUGUGUACCUGGGGCGGGGAUGUUGGGCUGUCUCUGUGUGUGUGUACCUGGGGCGGGGAUGUUGGGCUGUCUCUGUGUGUGCACGUUGUGUAAAAAGCAGACAUUCCAUGGAGUGUGUCACCUGCUUGUCCUUACAGGUCAUGUUCUUUGGAAUUUCACUUCAUCUCAGUGUUUGUCCUUUUUCGUUCACCAAUGACACACAUUGUUUGGGUUGCCAAACUAUUUGGAACCUUCGAAAAUAAGCCAUUGACCAUGGUCAUUUGGGGGAGUAAAUGUGGGAAUCUGUGGAAGGUCUUGGUAUGGAUUCUUUUUGUAUCAGUAAACCCAUUUCCCCCCUGACUCACCACCAUAGGGUAAGAAACAUAGCUUUCUGUCAACCUCAUUAUUGGACAAGCUUCAAUAAUGACACCAUUGCCAUUUAGCCUUCAUAAAUGAAUGUUGUACUGAACUUAAACAGCUGCCCCUUUCUCUCCUGACACAUUAAAGCUUUUCUGUAAUGGUAAGGGACUAUAUACCCUGCUCCAGUCAAUUGAAUAUCGAUAAUACACACUGUUGUAAGAGUAAUAUUUAUAAGGUCAUUAAAUAAGAUGCCAACUUUAAUGUAGUCUUGACACUAAAAGGCACGAUCUCAGAUCACAAGUGAACUUAGUAUCAAAGACAGUUUGAAAUGUUAAGUGAGAAUGAGCGACUGAGAAAUGACACACAGCUAUGUGAUUUGACACAGGUUACGUAUGCAUAAGUGGAUAUGCAUUUAUGCAUUAAUAUGCAUACUCGUUGAAAUAUUGUACAUAUAUGACAAACUAGUUUUUCUAUAUUGAUGACACUUUCAUAAAGAGGUAGAUAAUGUUUAUGAUGGGGCUGGAAAUGUAAAUGAGUAUGGUUUUAUAUUCAUAGCAAAUUACUAUUUUUAGUAUUGGGGAAAAAAUAUCCAAAACACUAACUCAGAAUGGAUUUUUAUAGCAAUUUUUCAGGGGAAAACAUGCAUCCAAUGAAUGUUUCUAUAUGUGAGGGCCACUGUGAGAAACAAAUACACGGGGAAAGAAAGUAUCUCGGUAGUGUUACUACUUACUUUGGCUUCUCUCUGUGUAUUGAGAAAAACACCUUGCCAUCUAUGGACAAAACGCUAUUUACCACGCCACUCAUAUUCUAAGUAAAUGAAUGAUCUACACUGAGUUCAUAGUUUCAUUGUGGUCAACAACAAAAUAAAACAGCUUUAAGACACAUUCAAGUGGCACAAUUCCUCCAUAGUUUUAUUCACAAAAAGUUCAAAACAAACCCAGGCUAAGCUUCAAAUCAUUGACAGAAGAGAGCAGUCGUUAUGUGUCAAAUAUUUCUUUUAAAACGUUUAUUGAUUAAAUUCAUGUAGGGAAAAUGAAUAGUACAUCUCUUUUCUCCAGUGUACAGCCAACCACAGCUGAUAAGUGUGUUUUAA